GGCCGUUUUAACAGUUGGCCUGUGAUUCUCACAGCUCUACCAGCUGUAAUGGUUGCCUCUAGGAAGUGUGAAACAAGACUCUAAAGAAAUGGAUGGGAGGCAGCUGAGAAAUGAACAUACGCAGACUUUCCUAUGUGUAGGCCAUUAUGAGGCUGUGCUUCAUUACAUUCAACAAGCCUUGAAGUUGGCGCACUGUGAUGAUGGAAAGAGGGAAAACAGGGUUUCUUAAUCAUUGUAAGUGGAUUACCUCACCUACAUUACAUCAUGGCAGAUUCUGCGAACACAAGAUGUGAGAAUAUAACAAGGAGAAUAUCAUGUGGCGUUGACAAUGCCAGGCCCUUCACUUCCAGGAGAAACAUCCAUCGGCAAAGUCCCACAAGAAGCCAAGACAAUGUCUCCUAAAACUCUCAGAAUUCCCCCUUUGUCCCUAUCAUACUCUCCCACCCAGCCCGCUUGGCAUAACAAAGACAGGCAAGUUUGGGAAUUGAUUCAGCGCUACAUUAAGUAAUCGAGUAAUCAUUUACAGUGUUUUUAGAGGGAACAUAUCAAACAGGCAUUGAUGUCACUAUGAGGAGAGUGGGGCUGUUUGGGUGCGAUGGGACCCUCUGUCUGACUUGGAAACCGCAUGCUGUAGUCAGGCUGUCGGAUGUCUCCUGGAGCGAUACAACGGAGUGGAAGAUCUCUUUCAAGGCGCCAUUUCCACCUCAUUUAUUUGCAGUUCAUCACAAUUUUGAACUCUGAAACAAUUCAUUCAGUCAACAGGAUUAAUUCAAAAGAGCAAAAUGUGUAUAUGCUUGCAGGCAAGAGGAAAGAGCAGCUGUAAACACAGACUGCAUGAGAACUGCAGCGUAGGUGUUGGUCACUGUUACACGGCUUUUAACUGACAACAAUUCCAUUUUAAAAAUCCAAGACCCUAUAUUCACAUUAGGAUUUACUUUAUUUAAAUGAUACUUUCCCCCUAUAAAAUGCACAUAUGCAAAAAUGAAACUUUUUGUGUUUUGCAUUUAAAAAAAAAGAAUCAAAGUCUGUAUAGUGUGCAGCUAAGUCAAACCUCACAGUCAUGGCAAAAACAAAGAGAGGGAAAAAAAAAUAAAAGUCAAAGGCAUCCUUGUUCAUCAAGCUCUACAGACUUGCCUCAAGUGCAUAGUUCACAUUCGGGGGCA